rnacentral:hammerhead_ribozyme from 1 species
AUCCAGCGGAUGACGAGUCCCAAACAGGACGAAAUGCGCAUCCUGGAU